CCUGUGUUUUAUGUAAGCACUUCCUCUUCUCUGCUUCUUCUCCGAAUUCCUCAACCAAAUUGAUUUCAUUUAUUUAUUCCAUAAACUGUGUUAUGAUCGAAAAUAGGGCUGUUGUUGGCUCAAUAUGGCGAUUGCUACACGUUUUGUGAUGAGAAUUUCAAGAUCGGCUUCGGCAAACCAGAAACUGGGAAUAGGGUUUUGCCAAAGGAGGUUUAUGAGGGUUUUGACGUGUGAAGAACAGGAAUUGAUUACUGACAUUGAAAAUGUCAAGAACCGGAGGUUUGUGGCUCUAUGGGGAAAUGGUGAUUAUGGGAGGUUGGGUUUGGGUAGCUUGGAAUCGAAAUGGAGGCCGGCUUUGUGUUCGGCUUUUGGCGACGGAAAUCUCCGUGAGAUUGCAUGUGGUGGGGCUCACACCUUGUUCUUAACAGACACUGGAGAUGUAUAUGCUGCUGGACUCAAUGACUAUGGCCAACUGGGUGUGUCAGAUGGUAGAAGCUACACAAUUGACCCACUUGAAGUUUCUGGACUUCCCAAGGAUAUUGUGAAAAUUUCAGCUGGCUAUUAUCACUCUUCAGCAAUUACAGAAAGUGGAGAACUGUAUAUGUGGGGCAAGAAUUCUAGUGGUCAACUUGGGCUUGGAAGGAAGGCAGCAAAGGUGAUUCCAGUCCCAAGUAAAGUAGAUUUUCUCAGUGAAGUCCCUGUUAAGAUGGCUGCUUUGGGUUCUGAUCACUCUAUUGCUGUUACAGAAAAAGGUGAGGUCUUAAGUUGGGGAGGAGGAGAGUAUGGAAGGCUUGGUCAUGGACACAAAUCAAGCCUCUUGGGCUUUCUGAGUUCUACCAGUGAAUAUACACCAAGGCUCAUUAAGGGGCUUGAAGGUGUCAAGCACAGAUUAAAAGUGUCGCUGCUGGGAUGUUGCAUUCGGCAUGCAUUGAUGAGAAUGGUUCCGUAUUUGUCUUUGGGGAAAAAGCAGUACAGAAGUUGGGAUUCAGAGAAGGAAAUACAAUUUCAACUCCAUCUAGGAUUGGGGAAUUACCAUUUGCUGAAGAAGUUGCAUGUGGUGCUAAUCACAUAUGUGUCAUCACAAGAGGUGGAGAACUGUAUACAUGGGGUUCCAACGAAAAUGGUUGUCUCGGUACUGGCGAUACACAUAGUGUUUAUGAGCCAGAAAGAGUUCAAGGUCCAUUCGUGAGGCAUUCUGUUUGCAAGGUAUCAUGUGGCUGGAAGCAUACAGCUGCUAUUUCUGAUGGCAAUGUCUAUACAUGGGGUUGGGGUGGCGCGAUGGGCACCUUUUUGGAAGACGAGCAUUCUUCUGGCGGACAACUGGGCCUAGGAGAUGAUGUAGAUUAUGUUGAACCCACCAUCGUCGACUUUGGGGAGAGUGUGAAGGCAUUGCAGAUCUCGUGUGGGUUCAAUCACACAGGGGCAGUACUCGAAUUCAACUGAUUGCAAACAAAGAAAUGUGUCCCAUUUUGCAUGUAAGUUGAAAUGUCGAACGUUUGGUGCAAUCAAACGGGUGAUGUGUCAAACAGGUGACGAAUACAAGUACAAAUAACCGUCAUACAUAAUAAGGCAAGGACGCCAAGUAAGUCAUUCAGACUCCAGAAACUGCAUGUGAAUAAGCAACUAUACGUAUAUUUUUUUGCACAAAUCUCUCGAGAGCAUAGUGUAUGAGUCCAAAAAUAAUCACUUGUGAAUUGUGUGUAUUGUUGUUUAUUCUAAAAACUAGCAUGUGUGAUGCUUAUGUAUUCUGAUUUGUAAUCAUCUUCUACUGGAUAUAUAGCGUACUUCACAUUGAAACUGA